CUGUAUUGCUGAAUUAGUGAUCGGCAAUACUUAAUUUACUUAUAUUUUUAGGAGUUAUACAUGUCACUAACUGCAGAAGUUAAAGCUGAAAUCGUUAAGAAAUAUGGUCAGGGCGAG
rfam:Idiomarina planktonica strain CGMCC 1.12458 genome assembly, contig: Ga0171582_11